AUACGGAGGAUGCGAGCGUUAUCCGGAUUUAUUGGGUUUAAAGGGAGCGUAGGUGGGAUAUUAAGUCAGCUGUGAAAGUUUGGGGCUCAACCUUAAAAUUGCAGUUGAUACUGGUUUCCUUGAGUACGGUACAGGUGGGCGGAAUUCGUGGUGUAGCGGUGAAAUGCUUAGAUAUCACGAAGAACUCCGAUCGCGAAGGCAGCUCACCGGGCCGGAACUGACACUGAUGCUCGAAAGUGCGGGUAUCAAACAGGAUUAGAUACCCUGGUAGUCCGCACAGUAAACGAUGAAUACUCGCUGUGUGCGAUACACUGUAAGCGGCCAAGCGAAAGCGUUAAGUAUUCCACCUGGGGAGUACGCCGGCAACGGUGAAACUCAAAGGAAUUGACGGGG
rnacentral:rRNA from 1 species